rnacentral:rRNA from 1 species
CCUACGGGAGGCAGCAGUGGGGAAUAUUGCACAAUGGGCGAAAGCCUGAUGCAGCAACGCCGCGUGAGCGAUGAAGGCCUUCUGGUCGUAAAGCCCUGUCCUCCAGGAAGAUACUGACGGUACUUGAGGAGGAAGCCCCGGCUAACUACGUGCCAGCAGCCGCGGUAAUAAGUAGGGGGCUAGCGUUAUCCGGAAGUACUGGGCGUAAAGGGUGCGUAGGUGGUUUCUUAAGUCAGAGGUGAAAGGCGACGGCUCAACCGUAGUAAGCCUUUGAAACUGGGGAACUUGAGUGCAGGAGAGGUAGGUGGAAUUCGUGGUGUAGCGGUGAAAUGCGUAGAUAUUAGGAGGAACACCAAUUGCGAAGGCGGCUCUCUGGACUGUAACUGACACUGAGGCACGAAAGCGUGGGGAGCAAACAGGAUUAGAUACCCUAGUAGUC